UACGUAGGGGUCGAGCGUUGUCCGGACUUACUGGGCGUAAAGAGCGUGUAGGCGGCCAUACAGGUCCGUUGUGAAAACUGGAGGCUCAACCUCCAGACGUCGACGGAAACCGUAUGGCUAGAGUCCGGAAGAGGAGAGUGGAAUUCCUGGUGUAGCGGUGAAAUGCGCAGAUAUCAGGAAGAACACCCGUGGCGAAGGCGGCUCUCUGGGACGGUACUGACGCUGAGACACGAAAGCGUGGGUAGCAAACAGG
rnacentral:rRNA from 1 species